rnacentral:rRNA from 1 species
CCCCUAGAUGUUCUGGGCCGCACGCGCGCUACACUGAACAGUUCAACAAGUCUUAACCUUGGCCGAUAGGUCUGGGUAAUCUUUGAACGCUGUUCGUGAUUGGGAUAGACCUUUGCAAUUAUGGGUCUUAAACGAGGAAUUCCUAGUAAACGCAAGUCAUCAGCUUGCAUUGAUUACGUCCCUGCCCUUUGUACACACCGCCCGUCGCACCUACCGAUUGAAUGGUCCGGUGAAAUCUCGGGACGGCGGCUUGGUCGCUUGCGUCCGACUGCUGAAACUUGAUUAAACCAUAUCAUUUAGAGGAAGGUGAAGUCGUAACA